AUUGAACGCUGGCGGCAUGCCUUACACAUGCAAGUCGAACGGCAGCACGGGAGCAAUCCUGGUGGCGAGUGGCGAACGGGUGAGUAAUAUAUCGGAACGUGCCCGGUCGUGGGGGAUAACGUAGCGAAAGCUACGCUAAUACCGCAUACGAUCUACGGAUGAAAGCGGGGGGAUCGCAAGACCUCGCGCGAUUGGAGCGGCCGAUAUCAGAUUAGGUAGUUGGUGAGGUAAAGGCUCACCAAGCCGACGAUCUGUAGCUGGUCUGAGAGGACGACCAGCACACUGGACUGAGACACGGCCAGACUCCUACGGGAGGCAGCAGUGGGGAAUUUGGGUUUACAAAUGGGCGGCAAGACCUGAUCCAGCAAUGCCGCGUGCAGGAUGAA
rnacentral:rRNA from 1 species